GUGGGCUGGAGGCCGAAGGUGAUAGUGCUGGAGACUUAGCUUUGGUCUUGCUAGGGGCCGGAGCUGGAACCGUGGCAGGAGGAGAAGCCAAAGGAGCUGGUGGUGGGGUAGCUGGAGGAGGAGUAGCAGGAGGGGGAGAAGCAGGUGGUGGGGUAGCCGGAGGUGGAGAAGCCGGUGGGGGAGUUGCGGGAGGUGGAGUAGCCGGGGGAGGAGAAGCUGGUGGUGGGGAGCUAACGGGCGGGGGAGUCGCUGGAGGAGGAGUGGAAACUGGUGGUGGUGAUGAAGUAGGAGGAGGAGAGGAAGCUGGUGGCGGAGAAGUAGUUGUGGGUGUUGGAGGUGGUUGAGUAGUAGGUGGAGGUGUGGAAGCGGGUGGAGUCGGCGGCGCCGGCGUGGAUGUCGGAGGAUUACUAGGAGUAGGAGGAGCUUGGCCUAAAACGCCAGCUACAGCAAUGCAAAACAAAGCUGAUAAGAACAAAAACUUAUUAUUAAGCAUCAUAUUGGAAACAAUGGUGACCCUUUAAUCCUGCACACCCUCUCCGCUUAAACUACGCCCAGCCGUGCAAGCAAAUGAGGGAGAAGAAGAGGCAAGUAUGAGAAAUGAAAAGAUGGUGAUAUUUAUAUAUAGGAUAUGGAAAUUUCCAUAUCAUAUUUCAAUUUAAAAUCCCCAAAACAAAUACCAGCAUUUUUAUUUUAUUACUAAUGGGAAAAUUGCAUUACUAAUCAUAUACAAUAUUCUAUAUUAAUUUAGUGUAAUUUAAUUCUUUCAUUUUUUUAUAAUGUUAUUAAUAGGUCCAAAAUCAAUAUCUCCGAU
rnacentral:lncRNA from 1 species